rfam:Desulfosporosinus orientis DSM 765, complete genome.
AGGAUGGUACGAAUCGACCAUACCGUUAUGUUAACCAAAGAUGGAGGCAAUUUAAAUGAAGGCCCGACUGCUUGUACCUAAAGAGGACUGAGACGGAAGG